GAGUGAGAACUUAUAAAUUUUUAGAUUUGAAAUUGAGCUUGAUCUCACGAACGCGUAGGCGCAAAUGGUUUGUAAAUCCGAGUUGAAGCGAAGAAGUUAUGCUCGUUUGAAGUUCCAAGGACUUAAUUGCAAACCGAUUCUUUGCUUAUAAAUUACAGAGGGACAUUGUUGAAAUUCAGAAAUUUCAAUUUGUCCCGGAGAUUUGAGAGCUAAUCGGAGAGGCGAUUUCCGGCCGCUCCGAAGACGGCGUAUGGCGGCGGUGAUCGACACCAACCCAGAUCGAAAGCUUGUUACCUCAUGAGCAUAACCCAAGAAGAAUCGAGUCCAUCAGAUAUGAAAUGAAGGAACGGUGAUGCCGUGACAUUGGUUCGUCAUUAGUGAAGUCAACUAAUUCAACCAGCGGUUUGAGCCACUUACGCUUCGAAUAGGACCUUGAGGUACUGUUGAGGUUCGAGAUUGAGGAUUCAUUGAGUUGUUGAAGACACAACUUGGAUGAGAGGUACUAGGUCUCAGGGAUCCUACAGUGCACAUGAUUUUUAUUGGAUGAUUCGGAAUUGGCGAAAGAGAGUUAGACAAGAUGACUAACAAAAGAGAAACUAUGGGAUGAUUGAAAUGGGUGUUAGUUCAUAUAAAUAGGCAUUCGGGACCAAGUGGUAUAAGCAUGGAAUGGGACGUGCAGGUCUGCUUGUCCAGUUAUAUGAAUUAAAGGGAUUAGAUGAAGAGCAUUCAUGCAUUGUUAUUAAUAAUGUGAAAUUUGGCUGUGAUUGCAUGUCACUUAAUUUAGUUAUAUCAAUCUACUGUGGUAAGGUCUCGUGUCCCUACUGAGCUGUGGUUGCUCACCCAUCACCCUAUUUAAUUUUUCAGAUGAAUUAGUGGGCAAGAAAAGGAAUAAACCAGUUGAGGCUGAAUUAGAUGAGAGUGAUAAAGCUUUAUUUAUUGUAAAGUUGUAAGAUUUUUGUUCUAUUUUUAUAAGAGAAGUUUAUUUUAAACCA